AAAACAAGUGGUGAUUUUUUUUUUUAAAUAAAAAAACCACAGACUAUAAAUAAAUGUAAAUAUAUAAUAAGUGGAUUUACUUGCAAGAAAAUCAGAUAGUAUUUUUCUUUUAAUUCUUUUCCAGCUUUAAACUGUGAAAAACAAAACAAUAGGGUGGGUGGGGGACUUAAAAUUUAGCAGGGAACUUCUAAAGACAAAACAGAAAACAAUUAUACAAAUCCAUUAAAAAAACAAAACAGAUGGAGAGAUGCAAGCUGGGCUUAAAGCCAGAGGGAAAAGAGUAAGGCCACAGCCAGCUGCAGGGAGCCUGCUGGAAAGAUCGCUUCCUUCUACUUGGAAGGUGCUGCCAAUGUGGGAGAGAAAGAGACCACAUGCCCACCCACACCACAGCUGCACACGUAGCCACACAGCCCAGCAGUGCAACCGCUCAUGGGGGUACUCUCGGUCUACAGCCGAGAAACUGACUUACGCCCUCCAAAGCCAUUGUUGACAACACCACAACACCACCCUGGCCUUUAUGUCCCCCUGUGGCCCUCACUACACACACACACACACACACACACACACACAUGCACGCACGCAAGCACGCACACGCACACACACAUGCAGACCAUGCUCAUGUGCAUGGCCAGGGCGCUGGGGCAGAGUCCAGCCCUGGAUUCAGCACUUCCUCACUGUGUGGCUCCUCCGGCCUCCAUGUCCCCCCAUGUACAUGUACAGACCAACCCAGACAUGCUUAGAAAGCCCGAUCUUGCUCUGUGUAUCUGUGACUUUUAGGAUCUGCCACCUGCCCAGAGCAAGAUGCCAGGGAUGACCAAAUCAGCUGACACCGAGCUCCAGUGACAUUGAGAACGUUCCCAAACCAUCAGUUGGCCUCUCUCUCCCUCCCUCUCUCUCUCUCUCUCACACACACACACACACACACACACACACACACACACAUGCACGCACACGUACACACCUCCCAUAUGGCUCCUCACUGUGCUCCCCAGCCCCUGUCCCCACAUCCAACAUUAAAGCAAAAAGACACACACGUGAGCUAACGUAUCCUGCCAUUCAGACACAGAGGGGAAAGACACAUAGGUUCGCAAAGCCGCUCUUCAUUUUGUGUCCCCUUUCUUUAAUACCAUGGCCCCAUCAGAGAGAGGGAGGGAAGGAGGCUUCCUUGAGAGAAGAGAUUGGUCCCCAGGGUCUCCUACUGUCUUGGGUGAGGUCAGACGAAAAGAUCCUCCAAGGGUUUCAAGGAAGGGUUCUGCCCCUCUCUCCCUCCCUCCCUCCCUCCCUCCCUCCCUCCC
rnacentral:lncRNA from 1 species